rnacentral:miRNA from 1 species
CUGUACGUCUCACAGUGAAA